GGGGCAGUAAUGGGUUCGACGGGGUUUUGAGAGUGCAAAACACGCAGGAAUGAUACCGCCUAAAGGAUCAAAACAAAAUUAAACGACGAUACUGUUGUAAUGAUUCACCCAGCUUUUGCCGCUUUCGUGGCAAAUCGGGUUGCUGCUUGAACUAAUUUGAGCAUCCAAAACAGCGCACUUGGCCUGGUAAGCGCUUGAGGAUAAAAGAAGAGGUCGUUUGGUUUCCUUGUUCCCCUUACACAAACAAGGUGGUGGAGGCGAUACCGAUCCGGUACGCCCUGGGUAAGAUAUGCCGACAUCGUGGCACCCGCCGACAAGCAAACGCUUAAAAGCCGGCUAUUGCGUAAGAAUGUUUUGCUCAUGUAGGAAUUUCGGACGCGGGUUCGAUUCCCGCCUGCUCCACCA
rnacentral:tmRNA from 1 species